GCAAUUAGUGCACCCAGUUGCAUUUGAAGGGUGGGCCAGGCCCAAUUUAGAAUAAGGCCCAUGUGGGGAGGAGCUGGGUUACUGAGUCCCAGGUGAGAGGAGUGGGGGUAACUAAUAAAGGACCUUAGGGCAGAAGAAAAGAGGUAGGAGUUCAAGGGGGAGAAUAGGUCUUGGGAUCUUCUCCUGAGAAGGGAGCUCUGGUAAAGGGGCCAGGAGAGAGAGAGACACGCAGAGAGCCUGGGGACAGGCAGACAAGAAGCUGGACCCCUGGAGAUAAAGCUCUGGGAAGUGUUGCUCUAUGCAAGAUCAGGAAAGAAUGCUACAGAGCCAGGGAAGAGGCAAGGGCCUGGAUCCACAAAUUGUCUCUCUGGAAGAGAGGAAAAACCCAUGGGAGUGAACAUACAAAGAUUGCCCAGAAACCAUUGACCAUCACAAGAUCACUGUCUGAAACUGUCAAACUUGAAUGAGGACAACCAAAUCCAGCUCUUAGCCAAUCAUGUGAGCAUGUAUGUGAUUUGAGCCUGCACCUAUUAAAGUGCCCUUGUUGGAGAGCUGGGCGCACGAUCCCAGGAGCUGUUCAGUUUUCAACUUUCCAGUACUUGAGAUGGAGCUAUGCCAAAUCCUGCAAUCAAGCGUGGCCGAUACUUUGAAGGAAUUAGGAUCCAGUUGAUCUGGAUCUGUACUCCACAUGCACGAAGGAAACAACUUCCAUUUUUCUGUUUUAAUAUCUUCCCGUGUUGUAAUAGCAAUAAUGACCUCCCAGUCAGACAUUUCCGGACAUUUAAUGACAAUCUACGAUAAGGUUUCUUUGCUUCACCUCAGAUCCUCCAACCGAUCAUAAACUGCCAGGAAAUGUCUGACCCCAAAAUUAUUACUGGUGAGCACAGAAGCACUAAUGUUACCUGGGGUUUAGCCAGGUAAAGGCUUUCAGCAUCAUUCCUUUUAUUACUGCCUGAAUUCUGGGCUAACUGGGUUCACAAAUAUGUAUUUAUACAAGAAGAAAAUGUCAUUAUUCUGUCCAAUUAUAAUCACAAACUUAAAAAAUUAAUUGAAGCAUGGUUUGAGUAAGCAAGAUAUUGAAUUGAGCAGGUUUUGCCUAAGUAAAUAUUUUCCAUUUUGAAACCUAAUCUAUUCACUUAAUAAACUAAAGCUCAGUUUUACUAAUUUAUCCUUCCCCCCCCCCUUUUUUUUUUUUUUUUUUGGUUUGCAGAAAAAAAAGUUUAUUCCAUUAGGAACUGUCAAUGGCUUAAGAGGAUUUUACUCCACAUUUUAUAGUUUGACUCAAAGAAAAUUUAUUCUUGCAAUAGGUUUUACAAUUCUUAGCUAAAAUCAUCUUUCCUGCUGCAAUAAAAAAAAAAAAAGCUUUGGCUUUUGUUA